ACCGGGGAGGGUCAUUGGAAACUGGGGAACUUGAGUGCAGAAGAGGAGAGUGGAAUUCCACGUGUAGCGGUGAAAUGCGUAGAGAUGUGGAGGAACACCAGUGGCGAAGGCGACUCUYUGGUCUGUAACUGACGCUGAGGAGCGAAAGCGUGGGGAGCGAACAGGAUUAGAUACCCUGGUAGUCCACGCCGUAAACGAUGAGUGCUAAGUGUUAGGGGGUUUCCGCCCCUUAGUGCUGCAGCUAACGCAUUAAGCACUCCGCCUGGGGAGUACGGUCGCAAGACUGAAACUCAAAGGAAUUGACGGGGGCCCGCACAAGCGGUGGAGCAUGUGGUUUAAUUCGAAGCAACGCGAAGAACCUUACCAGGUCUUGACAUCCUCUGACAAUCCUAGAGAUAGGACGUCCCCUUCGGGGGCAGAGUGACAGGUGGUGCAUGGUUGUCGUCAGCUCGUGUCGUGAGAUGUUGGGUUAAGUCCCGCAACGAGCGCAACCCUUGAUCUUAGUUGCCAGCAUUCAGUUGGGCACUCUAAGGUGACUGCCGGUGACAAACCGGAGGAAGGUGGGGAUGACGUCAAAUCAUCAUGCCCCUUAUGACCUGGGCUACACACGUGCUACAAUGGACAGAACAAAGGGCAGCGAAACCGCGAGGUUAAGCCAAUCCCACAAAUCUGUUCUCAGUUCGGAUCGCAGUCUGCAACUCGACUGCGUGAAGCUGGAAUCGC
rnacentral:rRNA from 1 species